rnacentral:rRNA from 1 species
CCCUUAGAUGUUCUGGGCCGCACGCGUGCUACACUGAGUGGAUCAGCGGGUCAGGUUGCGCGAAAGCGUUUCCUAAUCUUUAAAUCCCCUCGUGAUGGGGAUUGACGGUUGCAAUUUUCUGUCAUGAACGAGGAAUACCUUGUAAGCGCGGGUCAUCAUCCCGCGCUGAAUACGUCCCUGCCCUUUGUACACACCGCCCGUCGCUCCUACCGAUUGAGUGGUCCGGUGAGGCUUUGGGAUCUGAGCGGAAAGAGCGUUUCGCUGUUUCUGCUCGGAAAACUCAGUCGAACCUUAUCAUUUAGAGGAAGGAGAAGUCGUAACA